GCCAAUGUAGCUCAGUCGGCAGAGCACUGCUUUCGUAAAGCAGGGGUCGUGAGUUCGAGUCUCACCAUUGGCA
rfam:Phycisphaerae bacterium L21-RPul-D3, complete genome.